GGCGGUGAACUUGAGCCAGCAGCGGUUAACCCGGCCCGGGGUUCUGGGCCUCAGCCGGCGCCAGCAGCUCCCUCAGGUGGGGCGCAAGCCUCUGCGCGCCGCCCUUCUCCGCUCCGCUCCUCCAACCCGCCCUUACCUAGGGCGGUGGCCCCGGAGACCCCCUUCCCAAGGGCGACGGCCUGGAGCCUGGAGUCUGUAGUAGUGGCGGGAGAUGGGGACGCGAGUCCCUAGACGCCGACAGUCUGUCUCUAAGGCGUUGCUGCGUGGCUUUGGUGCACAGAGCCUCUCCACCGCUGCAAGCACAGCGGGGAAGUGGAUGGAGAAGCAAAGACAGACAGACAGACAGACAGACAGACAGACAGACAGACAGACAAGCGGCGGCGGGGCUACCCUGAAACCCGAGCGUCUCCAAGCCCCCACCCCCAACCCCCGGGCAAGGCGCUGCAGAAGCCAGAUCCCCGACCAGAGGCGGUGAGGAUGGGCAGGGCAAAGAACGCGCGCGCCGCUCGCGGUUCGUCCGCGCGUGGCCUUCCUCUUGCCCCCCUGCACCUUCAAUUUACCUUAUGCAGGGCGCCCCGCGAGCUGCGGGCGGCGGCGCCGAGCCGAAGCGCAGAGGACAGGAGUUUGAGAGCCGCCAUCUUCGGCCCCGGGUGCGGGAGGAGGUGGCGCGCGCGGGAGUGCGUGCGAGUGCUGGUUGCCGGGAGCCGAAGCGGCGUCACCGGCUAAGAAGAGAGAAGGCAAGGCGAGCUGUGGGGCGGGAUGGAGGCUCGACCGCGCGUCAGUGACGUCCUCGGGACCUCAGAGCGGUGCCGCCCCUUGCUGCCUGCUGGCUUGUCAAGGAGCGAGACAGGGAGGGGCCCACGGCUAGGAAUGGAGAGGCUGCACAGCUAGGAUGAGCCCCGCGGGUUGUGCCGGGACCGGAGGUGCUGGGCUCCAGCUCGUCUGCCGGCACACCCGCAGCGGCGGGCGCUGCACUCAGGCUGGAGGGGGCGCUAGUGCCUGCCUUCCCCUCGCGCAAGGCUUGGCAUCAACCAGGGUUUCGGGUUGCCAAGGGCCUGGAGGGUCUCUUACUGAACGCGUUACUUUUCCAAGUCGCCCUCUGGAAUGAGUACAGGUACAAAGGGUCACUGAUAAAGAUCUCCUCCCAGAUCUAGACAGCUCACCUUUCAAACAUUUCUCAACCCCACCACCCACAACUCUCUUCAAGUCUGAUUUUGCCCUUAGUUUCCUCUGAAACCCAGCAGCGUGCUGACUGACCCUCAUGAGACAUGACCUGCUUAACCGACAGAGGGACAAGAUUAGAACUGGACUGUUCCGCAUCAUCCUAGUCUGUGUUCCAGAAUUUUCCUGGAACCGGAGUCCCAACAAUUCCAGAAAUUACAGAGCAGGUAUAAGCACAGAAGUGUCUGUCUCCUCUCCUCCUCGUCCUUGUCCAUGUUGUAUAAUUCCCCUCACCUUGUAAUGCUCUUCCUGUUGUAGUUUUGUAUGAGAAAAGCCAGGCAAGGGACACAAUGAACACAAAAAUGCUCGGCACUAAAUUUAGCUAAUAUUCGGUGGUGGGUUAACUUUAUCGUUUUGGAGGUUUUGUUUUGGAGUUUGUUUUUUGCUGUUUUGUUUUGUUUGAGAAAGGAUCUCUAGCUCUCUUAGGUCCCAUUGAAACUCUAUAUAUGGCUCAGGCUGACCUCCAACUUUUUUCUAUUGCCGCAGCCUAUCCCAGAGUAUGUGCAAUCGUGCCUGGCUCAAGCCUUAUCUUUUGAUGGGCACCCGACGGGCUCAAACCAUUUUUUCAGGACGUUCUACGCGCAGUGCAGAGUUAAAAAGACCACUUGGAAGCCCGGGAAAUCCUUUUAUUGGAUUAAGAGCCCAUCGAGUCCUGGAAGAACGGUUUAAAUUUGAGGUGAUGCAAAACCCAUGUCAACAGUAAAUGACUAUUUAACUUCCUUAAAAAGUACACCGAUACAAUGAAGGAUGAACAGUCCUGUUUAAUUAAAACCUGUCUACUGGCCUGGUGAGAUGGUAAAGACACUUGCCUCCAAGCUUAGUGACCUCAGUUUGAUCCCUGGGACCCACAUGGUAGCAGGGAAGAACCAACUCCAGCCAAGUCCUCCUCCGACCUCACAUGUACUGCAGCGAGUGCAUGCCCGUGUAUGUGUGCCAAAACAAAUGAAUAAGGAAUUUAAAAAUCUGCCCAGAAAAGCAACUACCUCAGUACUCCCUUAACUCAGAAAUGUCUCCCAUAAAGAUUAUGGUUUUAACAUGGAAAUAAAAUAUCAAGUUAAACUAUCAUCUGAUUGCAUAGGAGAAGUGAACUCAGUAAUCCUGGAUAUUUUGGGGGCGCAUUUUAAUAAGCUGUGAAGAGUUCAAAUGUUUAAACCAAAGACCCAUAACUAGCCCUAACAUGGCGGCUGUUGUGCUGCAGUUUUGAGAAGGAACAACAAAAGCUGGCACUACAGUUAUUCUUCCACUUUUUUCCUUCCAGGGCCACGUGAAAGGGGAAAAAAAAAAAAGGCACUGGCAACUUAUCUCGUAGUCAUCUGACUCACUCUUCUUGGCUGGUCACAUGUAUUUCUCCUCAAUGGAGAUAGUGGAUAUUUUAAAUGUAUUACUCUGCAGAAUUAAGGCUACUAGGAAAAAACAAACAAACAAAAAAGCAAAACCAGCCUCCCUACUGCACAGCCAGAAGGGAGAGGGGACUGCAUUUUUUGAUAAGCCCAGAGAAAAUGAAAAUAUAUGAGUUACACAGUCAAAACGAAUGAACAUGAGAGCCUUGUUAAGGUGCUAAGAAAACCUCAGGAGAAAAACACAGCCAUCUGAGUGUGCUCAGCUUCAUCAUAGGACACCUGCUUUGCAUUCUCAGCCUCUCCAAUGUCAGGGAGAUACUGCCAUAAUUGACUUUGAUCCCCCUGAAACUGUAAGCCCAAAAGUGAGUUCUUUCUUCCAUAAAUUGCUUUUGAGCAUUGUGUUUUAUCACAGCAACAGCUAAGCAACUAAUACAGAAGUUGGUACUAGAGUGGGCCAAAGCUGUGUAGCACUUGACUGUGUUGCUUUGAAGAGGAAGGUGGGAGACUGUGGAGAUCUGGACUAGAACACCAUCUGAAUACUUUUGGCAGAACUAAAAAGGUAACCCUAAGGGAAGCCUGAAAGAUAACCAUACUGAGAGCAAUGAGGACUGUGGAGACCCAGAGCAAAAGGUUUCAGAGAGGAACACGACCAGCCAUUGGGCUCCAAGCCCUUGUGAUAUUUGGGCAAAGAAUCUAAUGGCCCUAGGCUUUGAUCCUAAGAACUUACCUAAGGGGAAAUUUUUAAAGUAACAGAAUAAUCUCUAUAGUGAAUAAAAUUUCAAGACCACAUAACAUUGAGUCUGUGGCAUGGUUUUUAUUGAUAAUGCUUCGGAUCUAUGAUGGAAAAGAGACAGAAAGAAAAAAAUGGACAUUUUGGUGAGAUAAGGAGCAUUGGGAAUCUUACUGCCCACAUUGAAAUGGAGGCUAUAAUUGCUCAGGAGUCAAGCACCAUUAAGGAGAGACCUGCUCAACACUGGAAUGUGGUUAACACUCUGCCCAGCUAAGCCUCUAGAUUCUGAAAGGAAAAAGACUAAGAGGUGGCUAGCCAAACUUAGCAGAUGUCUCAAUAUGAUGUUAUCUUAGAUGCAUGAAGGAGACCAAGCCCGUUCAUAGACUCUUCUUCCUGGGUCUCAGGGAGUUGCUGGGGCCAAGAAAUGUGUGGAAGAGGGGUCACUACAUGAAGACUUUGAGAAGGCAAGAGGCUCUAAGAAAGCAUUGCAGGAAACUGUGAAAGUAAAGCUCUUGCAGUAAGAUCUCAAAUUUUUGGUGAUUCAGCAGCCACGGCUUACCUGCUGUGACAAGUUAUGUUUUAAUUACUGUGCCUAGAGAGAUCCAUGAAAC
rnacentral:lncRNA from 1 species